rnacentral:rRNA from 1 species
UCGGGAAUUUUGGGCAAUGGGGGAAACCCUGACCCAGCAACGCCGCGUGAAGGAUGAAGUAUUUCGGUAUGUAAACUUCGAAAGAAUAGGAAGAAUAAAUGACGGUACUAUUUAUAAGGUCCGGCUAACUACGUGCCAGCAGCCGCGGUAAUACGUAGGGACCAAGCGUUGUUCGGAUUUACUGGGCGUAAAGGGCGCGUAGGCGGCAUGACAAGUCACUUGUGAAAUCUCUGGGCUUAACCCAGAACGGCCAAGUGAUACUGUCGCGCUAGAGUGCAGAAGGGGCAAUCGGAAUUCUUGGUGUAGCGGUGAAAUGCGUAGAUAUCAAGAGGAACACCUGAGGUGAAGACGGGUUGCUGGGCUGACACUGACGCUGAGGCACGAAAGCGUGGGUAGCAAACAGGAUUAGAUACCCCCGUAGUCCCUGAGCGGGCUGGCAAGGCGCAU